ACGUAGGGGGCUAGCGUUGUUCGGAAUUACUGGGCGUAAAGCGCGUGUAGGCGGCCCCGCAAGUCGGAAGUGAAAGCCCUCGGCUCAACCGGGGAACUGCUUUCGAAACUGCGGGACUUGAGUGUGGGAGGGGAGAGCGGAAUUCCCGGUGGGGCGGUGAAUUGCGCAGAUAUCGGGAAGAACAGCGGUGGCGAAGGUGGCUCUCUGGACCAAUACUGCGGCUGAGCCGGGAAAGUGUGUGUAACAUACAG
rnacentral:rRNA from 1 species